CUUCUUCCUGUGAAAAGGACAAGUUCUGAUUCAAUCCAGCAAUUCAGGGGAGGGUCCAGGCUGUUCUCUAUGAUGUGGCUGCUACACUCAGUUGAGCUGAGCACUUGGGUGGUCCUUGCGGAAGGACUGCAGAAGCUCAGGCAGACACCACCUUGAAUCAGAUCACUUGGUGAGGAGGGAGAGAGGGCUGCUGACAGAAACGAAGACGGCUUUGAACUUUUCCUCCAUCUCCAGUGCAAGAGGAUUCCCUUUUCUCCACACCCUCUCCAGCAUUUAUUGAUGAGAAGGAGGAGGAGGAAGAGGAGGAGGAGGAGGAAGAACAAGAAGAAGGAGGAGGAGGAGGAGGA